GACGAACGCUGGCGGCGUGCUUAACACAUGCAAGUCGAACGGAAAGGCCCUGCUUUUGUGGGGUGCUCGAGUGGCGAACGGGUGAGUAACACGUGAGUAACCUGCCCUUGACUUUGGGAUAACUUCAGGAAACAGGGGCUCAUACCGGAUAGGAGCUCCUGCUGCAUGGUGGUGGUUGGAAAGUUUCGGCGGUUGUGGAUGGACUCGCGGCUUAUCAGCUUGUUGGUCGGGUAGUGGCUUACGAAGGCUUAGACGGGUAGCCGGCCUGAGAGGGUGACCGGGCACAUGGGUCCUGCGAUAGGCACCAGACGCCUACGGGCGGCAGUGGUGGGGAACAUGGCACAAUGGGCGGAAGCCUGAUGUAGCAGUGUCGCGUGCGUGAUGACGGCUUUUGGGGUGUAAACAGAUGUGGCCGGUGAUGAAGCCGGAGUGACGGUAAUGGGUAAAGAAGCAACGGCUAACUACGUG
rnacentral:rRNA from 1 species